AUUUCCAUCUUCAGUCAAAGAGAGUCUUCCUUUGGACAUGGUCCCAGUUGUCUUUGUUGGAUGCCUUACUCUCAGAAACUCAGUGGAUGACAUAUCCACUAAGAACAACACCAGAACUUUAGGGAGAAAACCACAUGGUUCAUGUGAUCAGCCAGGAGACGGGACCCAGAAGGUUUACAAAGUGAUGGAGCUCUCUCUCUCGCGGCAAACUCACUGUCAGGAGGAUGGAAGUUGUGUCCUUGGCCUGAAGAUGAUCCAGGGCUGGAGAUGAUGGUGACCACGUGUACGUGAAAGCCAGUCUUUGAAAACACUAAAGCAUAUGUGCAGAGAGAAGCAAUCAAGAGACCACAGGGCCCUGCGGAGAUAAAGAGUUAACUUCCGUUUCAGAGUCUGGGGUUUGUGAGGCCGGCCUUUCUGUGAAGCUGCUCUGCUCCUUUCCCAUAAAUUCCUUCCUCUGCUUCAGCAGUCCUAUUUCCUUGCUUGCCACUACAGUCCCCAAACAAAAGCCGAGGGUGGUGCCCGAGGAGAAUUAGAACAGGAUCAAAAACCGACUUCACCUGGAAGCAGAGUCAGCUUGUCAUUAAUCGCCCUAGCAGACACAACUGAAGCACUGUUGAUAAUUAUACCAACGCUGCAGGAGAACAAGGCUGGAUGGCCAUCCUUGCCAGGUGGUGAAAAGCGGAAAUUAGAUAGAACUGCAUGUAUUUCCGAGGCAUGACUGGCAACCUGUGUCUACGCUGUUUUAUCAGACUAUCAUGAUAAUCCUAUUGAUUUGGCCUCGGUUGGGUCAGGACUCCACCAGAAUUGUUUUCUACACGAAACUGGUAGAAGAGACGGGAUGGACGAGCAGUCUCUCCAGCCACAGUUUCUGUUCUUGUCAUGCCAGUCACUCACUCUUCUUCCAUAACAGUUGGGGCUGGAGCUAGCUGACACAGUGUCAGUCAACUUUGUCAGCUGAGAGGAGUGAUCGCUGAGAGAGAAACAUAAGCGAUCACACUAUCACCUCAGAAAGCCACGCUUCCCUAUUGGACAGGACAAUGGUUCUCCCUGGUUCUCUUGCCUGAAACGCCUUUUAGCCAAAAAGAAAAAAAGCACAAAGCAACAAAAAUCCCCACUAGCAAGAAAAAGGAAAUUGAAGCAAUUUCGAGAUGAUUUAGGAGAAGUCCCAUUUUUACCUGAGUUAUUCAAGCAGCAUACGACAUAAAAGACUAGGGAGGUCAGAAUUUUUUAGAUAAUUGUUUGUUUUCCUGGUCUAGCUGCUUUAAAACUCU
rnacentral:lncRNA from 1 species